UACGUAGGAGACGAGCGUUGUCCGGAAUUACUGGGCGUAAAGCGCGUGUAGGCGGAUGAGCAAGUCUGCUGUGAAAGCUCCUGGCUUAACCGGGAGUGGUCGGUGGAAACUGCUCGUCUGGAGGACGGUAGAGGUAGGUAGAAUUCCCGGUGUAGUGGUGAAAUGCGCAGAUAUCAGGAGGAACACCGGUGGCGAAGGCGGGUCUCUGGGCCGAUAUUGACGCUGAGGAGCGAAAGCGUGGGGAGCAAACAGG
rnacentral:rRNA from 1 species